rnacentral:rRNA from 1 species
CCCGCACAAGCAGCGGAGCGUGUGGUUUAAUUCGAUGUUACACGAAGAACUUACCAGGGUUUGACAUGCAAGUGGUAGGAAGCCGAAAGGUGACCGACCCUUCGGGGAGCUUGCACAGGUGCUGCAUGGCUGUCGUCAGCUCGUGUCGUGAGAUGUUCGGUUAAGUCCGCUAACGAGCGCAACCCUCGCUGUGUGUUAUAUGUGUCACACGGGACUGCCGGUCUUAAGCCGGAGGAAAGUGGGGAUGAUGUCAAGUCAGCAUGGCCUUUAUAUCCUGGGCUACACACACGCUACAAUGGCCAACACAAUAGGUUGCUAAGCCGCGAGGUGGCGCCAAUCCAUAAAGUUGGUCUCAGUUCAGAUUGUAGGCUGCAACCCGCCUGCAUGAAGAUGGAGUUGCUAGUAACCGCAGGUCAGCUAUACUGCGGUGAAUACGUUCCCGGGGCUU